UUGAACGCUGGCGGCAGGCUUAACACAUGCAAGUCGAACGGUAACAGGAGAAAGCUUGCUUUCUUGCUGACGAGUGGCGGACGGGUGAGUAAUGCUUGGGAAUCUGGCUUAUGGAGGGGGAUAACGACGGGAAACUGUCGCUAAUACCGCGUAGAGUCGAGAGACGAAAGUGCGGGACCGCAAGGCCGCAUGCCAUAGGAUGAGCCCAAGUGGGAUUAGGUAGUUGGUGGGGUAAUGGCCUACCAAGCCGACGAUCUCUAGCUGGUCUGAGAGGAUGACCAGCCACACCGGGACUGAGACACGGCCCGGACUCCUACGGGAGGCAGCAGUGGGGAAUAUUACGCAAUGGGGGCAACCCUGACGCAGCCAUGCCGCGUGAAUGAAGAAGGCCUUCGGGUUGUAAAGUUCUUUCGGUGACGAGGAAGGCGUGGUGUUUAAUAGGCAUCACGAUUGACGUUAAUCACAGAAGAAGCACCGGCUAACUCCGUG
rnacentral:rRNA from 1 species